AUUUUCUGCCGAGGAUGAAAAAAAUGUUAAGGAUACUGAAGAAUUAAAUAUCGUUAUUAUGCGACAUCGUGUUCCGUGAGAGUGGAAAAUACGGGCACAUGUAUCUUACAUGAAAUAAAUACCUAAGAUUGGACGUUGCAUC